ensembl:lncRNA
CGUCACCGUCACGGUUGCCAGCAGCAAAUCCUUGCUGAGAGCUGCGCAGCCGCCCUGCGCAUCCGUCGGCUGAGCUGAGGUGGUCAGCGCAGCCAUUUCCGUGCCCCUCACGGAAAAACAUGCAGGGGGUGGCAUUUGUCCAUCACGCGCACAGCUAAAUCAGUCAUGACUUUGGCUGCACGACUUCACGCUGAAGUCUGCAUCAUCGAUUAACAGCCGAGAUCUCCAAACUUUCUCCUCAAUUCAACGCCUGCGCAGACAAUACAAGCUCUCUCUCUUCAGCUCCUGCUCCUUUUUCCUUUUUUUUUUGAUUCCGUGUCAGCCAUGGAGGGAGAUCUGCAAGGAGGCAGCAACCACGUCGCAGCGCUGCAUGUGAAAACUGAAGCGGUGGAUGAAAAUGCAUCUGCGCUGGUUUUGGGCAGGCAGGAGUCGCCUGCGCCCUGCGGAGAUACCGCAUGCAGAGGAGGAGGAGGAGGGGAACAGACUGCAGAGGAGCUGGCUGACACAGAGCUGCAAGCUGCCACGACAACUACUCCUGUACUACUGUACCCUGUUAGCACAGAGCGGUUCUUCACCACAUCUGGGGAUGGAAAAACAUACCUGAAGAUAGCUCCAGCUUCAGUAAUGCCCCCUGCUCCUUCCGAGAAGACGCUUUGCUCUGGCUCGGAUUUCUCUUCCAAAGCCGUUCUGUGUCUGAUUGAGGCCGUCGGGCGUCGCUGGGGUCUCUAUGAGACUCGGGAACGCUCGCAGCUCUUCCAGAGUGUCCAAGAGGAGAUGGCCUCCAAGGGGCACAUACUGCCUGUUGAGAAAAUCCGUCGCAAGUGGAACAACCUCAUUGUGACAUACAAGAGGGUUAAAGACCGCAGCCGGGAGACGGGACAUGCUAAGACGUCUUGGGAGUUCUUUGAUUUGAUGGACGCCACCCUCUGCGACACCAUUGGCACUCAGAUCGUCAACAACAAACGAAACAAAGGCGGCAGCACGGUUUCUACACUGCCUGCUCCUUUGGCUAAGAUCGCUGCAAAGCCCCUGCAGCUUCCACAGCCGACAUCCACCAUCAUCCGUCCUAGCAGUGACUUCGCUGCUGUUGCUGGUGGUGGUGGUGUGGACUCAGUAGGUCUGGGCUCCAGUGCUGGCAGCGCUGCCAGUACGUCGGUGACUGCAGCGACCAUUAGCUCAACUAAUGCUCCAGACCUCAAGCCCCUGAUCGUCCUCAAUGGUGACAUUGUUACUACUAGUAUUCACCCAGCCACCAUUGUGCCAGCUCCUUCUUUUAUUUCCUCGCCUUGUUUUACAGAAACAGCCACCACAUCCCCUUCCCUCAUCUCCGCCAGUAACACAGACCUCAACACACUGGGCUACACGAGCCGCAAAGCUCCAUCCAUCUCAUCAGGUGUCAUCCCUUUUCGCCUGAGUACAACAUCGCUCACCCAAAGCCAGAAUCUCCUCGGCCUCUCCUCUUCAUUCCCCCUCACGUCCUCCUGCCUCACUUCCUCUGCUGCCACCUCUUUGUCUACAACAACUGUGUCUGGAACUGAAGGACAGAACCAGAAGGCGAAAGCGGAGCAAGGCGGCUCCACUUUGUUCCAAGAGAUUCUGAAGCGACAGGAGGAGCAGGCCUACCUCGAUCGAGUGGCUCGCCGCAGGGUUGAAGCCAGAGAGAAGAGGCGGGAGAGGAGGGAGGUGCGAAUGUCCGAGUCCCUAGGAAGGAUAGCCACGGCCCUGGAGCUGCUCUCCUCCAAACAGGACACAGUCAUCGCCCUCCUACAGAGGCUGGCUGAUCGGAAAUAAUCUACGGUGAAAGCCUGGAAAGUAGAAUCUCCUGACCUUGUUUUUUUUUUUCCCACCUGAGAUCCUCCUUAUGAAGCUCUCAUGCACUAUAAUGCUACUUUAAUGAGCAUAAUUUAAUAUAAAUGCGAAUUUGACGAACUCCUAAGUAAAUAACAGAUAAACACAAAGGUAAGUCAUUGUUCCGUGCUUUUAAAUUGUUGUGCAUUGUAAAUAUGUUAGUUUGCUUCACUAACAUCAAAUAAAAAGAUUCUUUGGAUAUGUACC